AUUGAACGCUGGCGGCAGGCUUAACACAUGCAAGUCGAGCGGGGGAAGGUAGCUUGCUACCGGACCUAGCGGCGGACGGGUGAGUAAUGCUUAGGAAUCUGCCUAUUAGUGGGGGACAACAUCUCGAAAGGGAUGCUAAUACCGCAUACGUCCUACGGGAGAAAGCAGGGGAUCUUCGGACCUUGCGCUAAUAGAUGAGCCUAAGUCGGAUUAGGUAGUUGGUGGGGUAAAGGCCUACCAAGGCGACGAUCUGUAGCAGGUCCGAGAGGAGGAGCCGCCACACUGGGACUGAGACACGGCCCAGCCUCCUACCGGAGGCAGCAGUGGGGAAUAUUGGACAAUGGGGGGAACCCUGAUCCAGCCAUGCCGCGUGUGUGAAGAAGGCCUUAUGGUUGUAAAGCACUUUAAGCGAGGAGGAGGCUACUCUAGUUAAUACCUAGGGAUAGUGGACGUUACUCGCAGAAUAAGCACCGGCUAACUCUGUGCCAGCCGCCGCGGUAA
rnacentral:rRNA from 1 species